rnacentral:rRNA from 1 species
UACGAAGGGGGCUAGCGUUGCUCGGAAUUACUGGGCGUAAAGCGCACGUAGGCGGGUUGUUAAGUCGGGGGUGAAAUCCUGGAGCUCAACUCCAGAACUGCCUUCGAAACUGACGAUCUUGAGUUCGGGAGAGGUGAGUGGAACUGCGAGUGUAGAGGUGAAAUUCGUAGAUAUUCGCAAGAACACCAGUGGCGAAGGCGGCUCACUGGCCCGAUACUGACGCUGAGGCGCGAAAGCGUGGGGAGCAAACAGG